rnacentral:rRNA from 1 species
UACGUAGGUGGCAAGCGUUGUCCGGAAUUAUUGGGCGUAAAGCGCGCGCAGGCGGUCCUUUAAGUCUGACGUGAAAGCCCACGGCUCAACCGUGGAGGGUCAUUGGAAACUGGGGGACUUGAGUACAGAAGAGAAGAGUGGAAUUCCACGUGUAGGGUGAAAUGCGUAGAGAUGUGGAGGAACACCAGUGGCGAAGGCGACUCUUUGGUCUGUAACUGACGCUGAGGCGCGAAAGCGUGGGGAGCAAACAGG